rnacentral:rRNA from 1 species
GCAAGUCGAACGGUAGCAGGCCUUCGGGCGCUGACGAGUGGCGGACGGGUGAGUAACGCGUAGGAAUCUGCCUCAUAGUGGGGGACAACGUGGGGAAACUCACGCUAAUACCGCAUACGCCCUACGGGGGAAAGCGGGGGAUCUUCGGACCUCGCGCUAUGAGAUGAGCCUGCGUUAGAUUAGCUAGUUGGUGGGGUAAAGGCCUACCAAGGCGACGAUCUAUAGCUGGUCUGAGAGGACGAUCAGCCACACUGGGACUGAGACACGGCCCAGACUCCUACGGGAGGCAGCAGUGGGGAAUAUUGAACAAUGGGCGAAAGCCUGAUCCAGCAAUACCGCGUGUGUGAAGAAGGCCUUAGGGUUGUAAAGCACUUUCAAUUGGGAGGAAAACCUGCCGGUCAAUACCCGGUAGCUUGACAUUACCUUUAGAAGAAGCACCGGCUAACUCCGUGCCAGCAGCCGCGGUAAUACGGAGGGUGCGAGCGUUAAUCGGAAUUACUGGGCGUAAAGCGUGCGUAGGCGGUUCGUUAAGUCAGAUGUGAAAGCCCUGGGCUCAACCUGGGAACUGCAUUUGAAACUGGCGGACUAGAGUUUAGUAGAGGGGAGUGGAAUUUCAGGUGUAGCGGUGAAAUGCGUAGAUAUCGGAAGGAACACCAGUGG